rnacentral:rRNA from 1 species
UACGAAGGGGGCUAGCGUUGUUCGGAAUUACUGGGCGUAAAGCGCACGUAGGCGGAUUUGUAAGUCAGGGGUGAAAUCCCGGGGCUCAACCUCGGAACUGCCUUUGAUACUGCAAGUCUUGAGUCCGGAAGAGGUGAGUGGAAUUCCUAGUGUAGAGGUGAAAUUCGUAGAUAUUCGCAAGAACACCAGUGGCGAAGGCGGCUCACUGGCCCGGUACUGACGCUGAGACGCGAAAGCGUGGGGAGCGAACAGG